rnacentral:lncRNA from 1 species
AAGGUCAAGCUCAAUUUCCCCUUGCUGUGCCAGCUUCAUGAUGAGCUCCUUUAUGACGAAGCGCUUGUAUUCAGGCAGCUCGAUUACUUUCUUCUCCAACAGGUCGUUGGUGGUAAUAAAAGCACACCACAAAGUAGCACACAAUAAUCCUAUUAAUUUUCCUUUUUAACACUAAGAUUUGACAAUUGUAGCAUAUGAAAAUAAGGGUCUUUCCCGCAGAAGAUUGUUUUAUCCAAAUACUUAAAAUGUCACAAAAACAGGGUGGCCGUCUCCACUGACCAGCCACCGAACAAUAAUUAUUAUACUAACUUACACUUAUCCAAAUACAACGCAAUUUUAUACACAUAAACUAGACACAACAAGCUAUGCUCACACAAAUUUUUGGGAUUUUUGGAAUUGAUUUGCUAUUUAAAUUAAAUCGUACAAAAACAGUACAGAAACCGAUUUUAAAUAAUACCAAUAGAUUUUAAUUCACAAGUUAAGAAAAUGAGUUAGGGGACAUGCUAUCCACCACCAAAUAAUCAUGCAAGUAUGUUAUGUUUCAUUCAAAUCCCUUUUAUUUCCGGAUGAAGAUGCUCAAGUUGGCUCAAUGUUAGAACACAACCUAUUACUCUUUCUUACGUAGUAUGUUAAGAGAAUGGCGUUUUCAACUUAACUUAGUUCCUAACAUGCAAUCUAGAAUGGCAUGUUCAUAGAUUUAACAAGUAGAAAUCAUUAAGAAUAAAAAGAGUUUGAGUCAUCAUAAGGCAUCGUAAGUACUGGUGUUGUCUUACUUAUCCUAGAAAUCGUUUCCCAUGUUAACCACAAUUAACAAGUGCUACUCUAGAACAUAUGUAGGUUCUCAUUCAACAAGGGCAGGCAGACAUAUAUUCAUAGCAUUAAAAUCCUAGAUAUGCUCACUAUGUAUGCAUCCAUAGAAACACAUAAAGAAUUUAUCAAUGACAUAAGUAGUGAAACAAUUUUCAUCCUUUCAUAAAAGUCAUUCAAACAAAAUAUCACAACAACCUUACAAUCAUAUUCGGGGCUUCAAAACAGCCCCUAACUACUAAAAAUUAGUUACACAUCAUUAUCAAAUUAAACCAAAAGUAAAAUAUAAGUUUGGAAAGAUUUAACCGAGAGAGAAGGCAGCUUGCUGCUUCUGUCUGUGCCCUUCUCGUACUGCAAGGCAGCUUGCUGAUUCCUCUCUUGCGCACUGCCUAUCUCUGCUUCUAUUUGCUUCGCACGUCAGUCUCUCUCUCCCCCUCGGUUUCUGCCUCUCUUUCUCUUUUCCGCUGUCUAUAUAUAUAUAUAUUUUUUUUGCUCCUGUUUUUCUGCGCCCCUGCGCCAGCCUUCUUUUUCUUUCCAAUCAGCCUUCCUCUCUCUGUUUCCCGUCUCCCAUGCUCUCCGUGUCUGCCCUCUCUUUAUUUCCCCGCUCUUUUAUUUUUCUUUUCUGCUUGCCAUGCUGUUUUCUGCUUUUCUCGCUGGUUUUUGUAUUGCUGUCAUGCACUCCUUCUUUCUUCCACUAGUCCAUGUCCUCCCACUUAUUCUUUUAUUUAUUAUUCUUCCUUGCCACAGAAGAAUGCCAUCAGCCCUUUUUCCUUUCUCAUGUUCUCGACAUAGCAACCUGUCAAACACUCACAAAUUUCACGAUCAG